UAGAUGCGAGAGUAGAGCAUAUCAAUAAGCGGAGGAAAAGAAACUAACAAGGAUUCCCUUAGUAACGGCGAGUGAAGCGGGAAGAGCUCAAAUUUGAAAUCUUCAAGGUUUUACCUUGACGAAUUGUAGUUUAAAGAAGUGUUUUCUGUUGGAGUUUUGGUAAAAGUUCUUUGGAAUAGGACAUCAUAGAGGGUGAGAAUCCCGUAUUUGACCAUUAUUUCCAGCUGUGUGAUACACUUUCAAAGAGUCGGAUUGUUUGGGAAUGCAGUCCAAGAUGGGUGGUAAACUUCAUCUAAAGCUAAAUAUUGGCGAGAGACCGAUAGCGAACAAGUACCGUGAGGGAAAGAUGAAAAGAACUUUGAAAAGAGAGUUAAACAGUACGUGAAAUUGUCAAAAGGGAAGCGUUUGACACCAGUGUUGUUUUCUCGAAAAUCAAUUAAAAAUGAUGGGAUUUUGUGUUGUAUUGACUUUAUCAGCUUUCUGCACUUUUUUCUUAUCUUUUUUAAUGCACUUUUCGUUUAACAAGUCAACAUCAAUUUCUUUUGUUGUAAAAGAGUCAUUGGAAGGUGGCUUUUUCUUCGGAAAAAGUGUUUAUAGCCUUUGGCUUCUGCAAUCGGAGAGAUUGAGGUCUGCAGCGUAGAUCCUUCGGGGUUAGAUACAUUUGUGCUAAGCUAUAGUUCUUUAUAGACAACUUGUUGACUAUAAUCAAUCCUGUAACUUACUCGCUUAUGCUAUUUUACCUACGCUUAGGAUGUUGACGAGACUGUCGAUCU
rnacentral:rRNA from 1 species